UGUGCGCACAAUGGGCAAAGAGACACCUUGUUAGUGAUGGUGUUCUCAUAUCAGUCCGGAAUAGAGCAGAAGGCAGUUCAUGGUUCAUCUUAACUUGAUGUUUGGCUGUCUGGCCAAAGUUGUCUUAGGUCUAGGACUCACAA